AACGAACGCUGGCGGCAGGCUUAACACAUGCAAGUCGAACGCCCCGCAAGGGGCUUGGCAGACGGGUGAGUACCGCGUGGGAACAUACCCUUUUCUACGGAAUAGCUCUGGGAAACUGGAAUUAAUACCGUAUACGCCCUACGGGGGAAAGAUUUAUCGGGGAAGGAUUGGCCCGCGUUGGAUUAGCUAGUUGGUGGGGUAAAGGCCUACCAAGGCGACGAUCCAUAGCUGGGCUGAGAGGAUGAUCAGCCACAUUGGGACUGAGACACGGCCCAAACUCCUACGGGAGGCAGCAGUGGGGAAUAUUGGACAAUGGGCGCAAGCCUGAUCCAGCCAUGACGCGUGAGUGAUGAAGGCCUUAGGGUUGUAAAGCUCUUUCACCGAUGAAGAUAAUGACGGUAGUCGGAGAAGAAGCCCCGGCUAACUUCGUG
rnacentral:rRNA from 1 species